CGGGUGUUGAAGAAGAAUCCACAGUUACUGGCGAGGAAGCAAGCAUAUUCUAAGGGUAUAAAGUCUUGUUCCAGUCAUAAAGUACAGAAGCCUGAGCCCUUAUGUGGUAGGGUGCUAGUGUUAUAUCAACAGUUAUUAAAAGCCUGAGCCCUUAUGUGGUAGGGUGCUAGUGUUAUAUCAACAGUUAUUACAGAAUUGCACUCGGCCCUUACUUAUAUUAAAGCAGUUGCUUGGCCGUUACAAGAUUCUAU
rnacentral:lncRNA from 1 species